GAAAUGUACACCUUACCUGAUAGUAUUAUGCAGGGGUAUCACUUGGAAUUGAUGGUGUUGCUUGAAGGCAGAGCAAAAACCAACAUGUGGAAGGUGGUGCUGAGCUUCUCAACCUGGGGCUUGCUUGCAACUGCAACCAGCCAACAAACCAACAGCUACGGGUGAACCAUCUCCCUGAUCCUUCCAUUGCACUGCAUCUUUGACUCCUCAUGGGUAUAUAUAUGCCAGGCCAUAGGCAGCAUAUGUCUACUGAUCUCUGAGACUCGGCAGAGGCAACACCGUGAAACUUCCAAGCCGAAGCAAUAUCAUGGCUCCCUUCAACAAUGGCCGAUCAUGCUUUGUUGCAGAUGAUGAUGUUUCUGAGGGCUCGGAAACAGCGUCCUUCAUAAGGUAAAUUGUUUCCAGGAUUUUUUAUGCUACUAUAUAUAUCCUGAUGUGUUCUGUAAUUUGUACUAUAGUAAAGUUGUUAUGUUUCGGUUUCAUUGCUCUGAAUGAUACAAGCUUCUCUUGUUUGAUUAGUAGUAACAUUGCCUGAUGAUUAUUGUUGAAGAUAUUUUUAUAUCAUUGGGGAGGUUUCUCCCUGAAGGGGAGCCUUGGCGCAGUGGUAAAGCUGCUGCCUUGUGACCAUGAGGUCACGGGUUCAAGUCCUGGAAACAGCCUCUUACAGAAAUGUAGGGAAAGGCUGCAUACUAUAGACCCAAAGUGGUCGGACCCUUCCCCGGACCCUGCGCAAGCGGGAGCUACAUGCACCGGGCUGCCCUUUGGGGAGGUUUCUCCCUGGUUCCAUUACUAGAACAAAAUUUGGAUAAUUGCAGUCAGUUUUAUACGGCCUCAUCUCAAACAGAAAAAUCAUUUAGUGCCGUCGGUCUGUUCUCCAAACUAACAGCAGAUGAGCAUACCAUUUUCUCUCAGAAGAAUGAAAAGUAGACGGGCAUGUCUUGUCGUCGUCAAAAUGGUGCUAUUUUGUGGCACAACGGCGCAGCAUACAAGCAGCUUACCUCUUUGAAUUCAGAAGCAACUUUUUUUUUGGAAACAACGAACCUCCCUCGUCGGUUUCCACUAGAGAAACCUAGAGUCUUACAACAUUCGAAGAGAGAGAGAAAGCAUAAGAACACCUGGAGCGAUAUACCCAGGGCAGUUUGUGCAUCAUCAGGCAAACUAAUAUAUAUUAGCUUUCAGGUAACUGUGCAGGUCCUGAAAACCAGCUCACACGCAGCAGUUUCUUCAGAACUUUUAAGCAGGGCCUUUUGGCACUCACACACAAACUGGAACAAGCCUUGUAAAGCAAACUAGAGAGGUUAUCACUCAAGGAAGAAAGAAAACAAGAAGGCGGUGUAGUAGAAAUCAUCCACCCGUGAUUCUGGGAACCGUAGGGCCCCAUCCAUGGCUUCUGUUGUAGAUCUCCCGCACCACCUGCCUGAUCUUCUCCACAGCGAGCUCAAUGCUUCCUGCUUUCAGGUUUGUCUACAAGAUUUUCCAGUUGGUGAGAUGACUGCAAAUAUGGAAGAUAACUGGUGCAGGAUCAUUAGGCAUUUUCUUAUCAAAACAUGCUGCAUUUCUGGUUUUCCAUAUUGUCCACCAUAGAGCAGUCCCUCCCAUCAUAGCCAUUUUUCUUUUGGCUGGGAGGGAACUGGUCCGGUAAGCCAGAAGUAAGAUCGUAAGAUCAUGAACAUCAUCAGGCGUCUCACAAGGUCAAAAGCACAGAGAAUCACAUUAUAUUCAAACAGCAAAUGUUUGAUGAAGCAACCCGUUAAACGUAGCAAUCAGGAAGACAACCUGGUACGUACGUGGCAAGCAUGCUCGUUCACUACUGCAUUAUUGCAAUUUUCUAAAUUCAUAGUGUGCAGAUAGAGAAGAACCAUUUCAUGCCUCUUUUUGCUGUACAUUAUGGUUUUAUGAUCUUAGGUACGUUUCUGUUCAGCCUAGCCUGAGUGUUGUCCUGUGCUUCUUUUGAUUCUUGUUAACUCUAGCACUUGUUUCGAAAACGAGAGGGAUCAGGAAAACAAUGCUAGAUUAUCUCAACCAACAGCAUCCUCUCGGUUUAACAAAUUGUACAAAACAUUAUUAUGUAACUCAUACAAUCACUACAAGAAAGGCAGUCAUAUGAUUCAAUUAAAAUGUCUGCGUCUGCUAUAAAAUACAGAAGGUGCAACCAUAAUUACCUAAAUUUGAGUAACUAAGUUCACCAAAGUUUCAUGGCCAGUAUAUACCAAAACAAGAAAUACAUUUUCAGCCCUUUUUAACUUACAAAACACACACACGUAUCAGCUUUCCUCAGCGCGGCACCCGUGUCUUCUAUGCAACCGUGGAAUGGAAUGAACAAAUGACCUGUUGCCGCGCACCUCAUGGAACAUGACAGCGACUUGAAGCUCGCUGAAUCUCUUGGUCUCAUUUCAUCAUACGUAAUAAGCCAGCAAAGUAGACAACACAGUCCAGAACACCAAUAGUGGGAGCGUCCAUGGUUGUUUUGUCAGAGGGCUUGCACUAGGCAACCAUGGAUAGUCAUCGGGAGAUGGCAUGACACAGUUAUCACCAUUGAAGUACACACGCCGGGGAAACGCCCAUCCUUUUUGGAAGGUGAAAGUCUCCGAGUCCUUCCGCAUGAGUAGUUCUGACUGCGCGUUUCCAAGCGGGCCAGCUUGAUUGAGCAAAUCAUUGUAGAACUUCAUUCCCCAG
rnacentral:lncRNA from 1 species